rnacentral:lncRNA from 1 species
GUAGGGUUCGGGAAGAACUAUACGUUUUGACCUGUGGAGGGCAGUACGCCAAGUGGCGUCUAAACUCGUAGAUCCUCAAGAAGAAGACUAGUACAUAUAACACGAGGCGAACGCUGACAAGUCCUUUCUGGUCUGAAGCAGCAAAUAACGAUUACGUGUUGAGGAAAAAAUACGGCUGUUUGUUGGUAAGACACAAGUCACAUUUUCUCAAUAAUGUCUCUUUUCAUAAUGUGUUGUGAUGAAACCUAAACUGAAAAUAGCUGGAAUUACCGUCAGAAGGUUCAGUGGUGAUGAUCGGUUUUCUGAGCACACUAAAUGUAUACCAAGUAUUUAAAACAUGUAUGAGCGGUUCCUUAACGGUGUGUGUCUUCUUAGGUGUUUUCCGAGGACUUCACAAAUUUAUGAUUACGUUGACGGAGGUUUGGACCGCUUUAUCCUUAAUCUUCAUAUUCAGACUUGUUUUCUUUGAACUGCUGUGUCCUAUGAAUUUCAUGUUUGUAUGUUGAGUGUAUUUAAGUCCUAUUAAAAGUUCUUCAUUCAAAUAUUGUGUUUUCAUUUAUCAUGUUUCUGUGGGUGGGGGAAAGUUCCUGACAUGUUA